AGGGCACCACCAGGAGUGGAGCCUGCGGCUUAAUUUGACUCAACACAGGAAAACUUACCCGGCCCGGACACUGGAAGGAUUGACAGAUUGAGAGCUCUUUCUUGAUUCGGUGGGUGGUGGUGCAUGGCCGUUCUUAGUUGGUGGAGCGAUUUGUCUGGUUAAUUCCGAUAACGAAAGAGACUCUAGCCUACUAAAUAGACUACCGUUCCUUUGUGACGGUCGGACUUCUUAGAGGGACAGGCGGCGACUCAGCCGCACGAAACAAAGCAAUAACAGGUCUGUGAUGCCCUUAGAUGUCCGGGGCCGCACGCGCGCUACACUGAAGUGAUCAGCGUGCAUUAAUAACCCUCUCUGUCAAGAGUGGGUAACCCAUUUAACCUUCUUCGUGAUUGGUAUAGGGUUUUGUAAUUCUUACCCUUGAACGAGGAAUUCCCAGUAAGCGCGAGUCAUAAGCUUGCGUUGAUUGCCCUCCUGACCUUUGUACACCCCGCCCGUCGCUACUAACGAUUGAAUGAUGUA
rnacentral:rRNA from 1 species